ACCCUCCCGAUCCCUUUCCCAUCAGAUCCAAUUACUGAUCUCAUGGUCAAAAAGGAGGCAAAGUAAAAACAAAAUAGUCCUUACAUCUUUGCUGGGAUAAAUCCAGCACUGAACUGGGCUGGCUUGAAACAGGU
rnacentral:snoRNA from 1 species